UAAGGAAUAUUGGUCAAUGGACGAAAGUCUGAACCAGCCAUGCCGCGUGGAGGAUGAAGGCCUCUGGGUUGUAAACUUCUUUUAUAGGGGACGAAAAAGGGUCUUUCUAGAUCAACUGACGGUACCCUAGGAAUAAGCACCGGCUAACUCCGUGCCAGCAGCCGCGGUAAUACGGAGGGUGCAAGCGUUAUCCGGAUUCACUGGGUUUAAAGGGUGCGUAGGUGGGUUAGUAAGUCAGUGGUGAAAUCUUCGAGCUUACCUAGGAAACUGCCAUUGAUACUAUUAGUCUUGAAUAUUGUGGAGGUUAGCAGAAUAUGUCAUGUAGCGGUGAAAUGCUUAGAUAUGACAUAGAACAACAAUUGCGAAGGCAGCUGGCUACACAUAUAUUGACACUGAGGCACGAAAGCGUGGGGAUAAAACA
rnacentral:rRNA from 1 species